rnacentral:rRNA from 1 species
UUGAACGCUGGCGGCAGGCCUAACACAUGCAAGUCGAGCGGUAACAUUUCUAGCUUGCUAGAAGAUGACGAGCGGCGGACGGGUGAGUAAUGCUUGGGAACAUGCCUUGAGGUGGGGGACAACAGUUGGAAACGACUGCUAAUACCGCAUAAUGUCUACGGACCAAAGGGGGCUUCGGCUCUCGCCUUUAGAUUGGCCCAAGUGGGAUUAGCUAGUUGGUGAGGUAAUGGCUCACCAAGGCGACGAUCCCUAGCUGGUUUGAGAGGAUGAUCAGCCACACUGGGACUGAGACACGGCCCAGACUCCUACGGGAGGCAGCAGUGGGGAAUAUUGCACAAUGGGCGCAAGCCUGAUGCAGCCAUGCCGCGUGUGUGAAGAAGGCCUUCGGGUUGUAAAGCACUUUCAGUCAGGAGGAAAGGUUAGUAGUUAAUACCUGCUAGCCGUGACGUUACUGACAGAAGAAGCACCGGCUAACUCCGUG